rnacentral:rRNA from 1 species
AUUGAACGCUGGCGGCAGGCCUAACACAUGCAAGUCGAACGAGUGGCGGACGGGUGAGUAAUGUCUGGGAAACUGCCUGAUGGAGGGGGAUAACUACUGGAAACGGUAGCUAAUACCGCAUACCAUCGGAUGUGCCCCGAUGGGAUUAGCUUGUUGGUGGGGUAACGGCUCACCAAGGCGACGAUCCCUAGCUGGUCUGAGAGGAUGACCAGCCACACUGGAACGAGGACACGGGCCAGACUCCUCCGCGAGGGAGCAGUGGGGAAUAUUGCACAUUGGGCGCAAGCCUGAUGCAGCGAUGCCGCGUGUAUGAAGAAGGCCUUCGGGUUGUAAAGUCCUUUCAGCGGGGAGGCGUUAACCGCAGAAGAAGCACCGGCUAACUCCGGGCCAGCAGCCGCGGUAAUUC